UAGGGAAUAUUGCGCAAUGGCCGCAAGGCUGACGCAGCGACGCCGCGUGUGGGAGGGAGCCCUUCGGGGUGUAAACCACUGUCAGGGGGGAAGAACUUCGUGGAUGUGAACAGCUUUCACGGUUGACGGUACCCCCAGAGGAAGCGCCGGCUAACUCCGUGCCAGCAGCCGCGGUAAGACGGAGGGCGCAAGCGUUGUUCGGAAUCACUGGGCGUAAAGCGCUCGCAGGCGGUGCCUUAAGUCCGCCGUGAAACUCCGGAGCUCAACUCCGGACUUGCGACGGAUACUGGGGGACUGGAGACUGGUAGAGGCUAGCGGAAUUCUUGGUGUAGCGGUGGAAUGCGUAGAUAUCAGGAAGAACACCGGUGGCGAAGGCGGCUAGCUGGGCCGGUUCUGACGCUCAUGAGCGAAAGCGUGGGGAGCAAACAGGAUUAGAUACCCCCGUAGUCC
rnacentral:rRNA from 1 species